CCAGAGGGUCGGGCGGCCGCGGGUGUGCAAGCACGCGAGGAAAGUCCGGGCUCCACGGAACGACGGUGCCGGGUAAUGCCCGGCGAGGGUGACCUUAGGGAAAGUGCCACAGAGAGCAGACCGCCCACUGGUCCGUAAGGACUAAGGGUAAGGGUGAAAGGGUGCGGUAAAAGCGCACCGCGCGACCGGCAACGGAAGCGGCACGGCAAACCCCACCGGGAGCAAAACCGAAUAGGGACGGCAUAUGGGCCUCGUUCCGGCCCGUCGUCCGGGUUGGUUGCUUGAGCGGCGGAGCGAUCCGUCGCCUAGAGGAAUGGUCGCCUAUCCCUUUCGAGGGUGGACAGAACCCGGCUUACAGACCCUCUGGCAUU
rnacentral:RNase_P_RNA from 1 species